CGGUGGCGGAGGUAGCGGCGCCGCCGUGGCUCCGCCGCAGGGCUACGAAUUGAGUGGUAAGAUCAUGCUGUGCUCCGUCGUCGUCCUCUUCGCCUCCGUACUCCUCGUCCUCUUCCUCCACCUCUACCUCCGGUGGCGCAUCCUCCGCCGCUCCUCCUCCUUCCUCCGCCGCCGCGAGCCUCGCCUCGUCUUUUCCGGCGAAGGCGACGCCGCCGCCGCCCCUCGCGGCCUCGACCCCGCUGUGCUCGGAUCCCUGCCGGUGAUCGUCUUCUCCCACGGCGGGGGCGGAGGAGACGAGGAGGAGGGGGUGGUGGCGGAGUGCGCGGUGUGCCUCAGCGAGUUCGCGGAGGGGGAGAAGGUGCGAACCCUCCCGCGGUGCGGUCACCGCUUCCACAUCCAGUGCAUCGACAUGUGGUUCCUCUCCCACAGCACCUGCCCCCUCUGCCGAUCCGCAGUGGAGCGGCCGCCGCCACCUCCGCCGCUUAUCGCCGCCGCCGCCGUUGAGUGUGUGAAUCCAUCUUCGUCAUCAGAACCCGGAAUGGGCGACCUCAGGAUCGAGGUGGGGAGGGGAUCGGAGGAGGACCUAGUGCUAGCGUUAGGGUUAGGGUUUGGG
rnacentral:lncRNA from 1 species